rnacentral:rRNA from 1 species
AGUCGACGGAUCCUUCGGGAUUUAGUGGCGGACGGGUGAGUAACACGUAAGAACCUGCCUCUAGGACGGGGACAACAGUUGGAAACGACUGCUAAACCCGGAUGAGCCGAAAGGUAAAAGAUUUAUCGCCUAGAGAGGGGCUUGCGUCUGAUUAGCUAGUUGGUAAGGUAAAGGCUUACCAAGGCGACGAUCAGUAGCUGGUCUGAGAGGAUGAUCAGCCACACUGGGACUGAGACACGGCCCAGACUCCUACGGGAGGCAGCAGUGGGGAAUUUUCCGCAAUGGGCGAAAGCCUGACGGAGCAAGACCGCGUGGGGGAGGAAGGUUCUUGGAUUGUCAACCCCUUUUCUCAGGGAAGAACUCAAUGACGGUACCUGAGGAAAAAGCAUCGGCUAACUCCGUGCCAGCAGCCGCGGUAAUACGGGGGAUGCAAGCGUUAUCCGGAAUGAUUGGGCGUAAAGAGUCCGUAGGUAGCCAAUCAAGUCUGCUGUUAAAGAGCGAGGCUUAACUUCGUAAAGGCAGUGGAAACUGGAAGGCUAGAGUGUAGUAGGGGCAGAGGGAAUUCCUGGUGUAGCGGUGAAAUGCGUAGAGAUCAGGAAGAACACCGGUGGCGAAGGCGCUCUGCUGGGCUAUAACUGACACUGAGGGACGAAAGCUAGGGGAGCGAAUGGGAUUAGAUACCCCAGUAGUCCUAGCGGUAAACGAUGGAAACUAGGUGUGGCCUGUAUCGACCCGGGCCGUGCCGAAGCUAACGCGUUAAGUUUCCCGCCUGGGGAGUACGCACGCAAGUGUGAAACUCAAAGGAAUUGACGGGGGCCCGCACAAGCGGUGGAGUAUGUGGUUUAAUUCGAUGC